rnacentral:rRNA from 1 species
UGGGGAAUAUUGCACAAUGGGCGAAAGCCUGAUGCAGCAACGCCGCGUGAGUGAUGAAGGUCUUCGGAUUGUAAAGCUCUGUCUUUUGGGACGAUAAUGACGGUACCAAAGGAGGAAGCCACGGCUAACUACGUGCCAGCAGCCGCGGUAAUACGUAGGUGGCGAGCGUUGUCCGGAUUUACUGGGCGUAAAGGGUGCGUAGGCGGAUGUUUAAGUGAGAUGUGAAAUACCCGGGCUUAACUUGGGUGCUGCAUUUCAAACUGGAUAUCUAGAGUGCAGGAGAGGAGAAUGGAAUUCCUAGUGUAGCGGUGAAAUGCGUAGAGAUUAGGAAGAACACCAGUGGCGAAGGCGAUUCUCUGGACUGUAACUGACGCUGAGGCACGAAAGCGUGGGUAGCAAACAGGAUUAGAUACCCUGGUAGUCC